rnacentral:rRNA from 1 species
UACGAAGGGGGCUAGCGUUGUUCGGAAUUGACUAGGGCGUAAAGCGCGAGCGCAGGCGGCUAUCCAAGUCAGUGGUGAAAGCCCGGAGCUCAACUCCGGAACUGCCAUUGAAACUGUUAGCUUGAGGACGAGAGAGGUGAGUGGAAUUCCAGUGUAGAGGUGGAAUUCGUAGAUAUUGGAAGAACACCGGUGGCGAAGGCGGCAACCUGGUCCAUUACUG